rnacentral:siRNA from 1 species
UUACGUGAAUGGGUACUUCUACUA